AUGGAGAUGAAACGGGGUGUGAGUGUGAUUAACAGCUGCAGAGCUGCACUCAACACAGCCUCUCUGUAAUGUUUAUGCAAAUCUGCAUCUCCUCUUGUAAUAUUAGCAGCGUUCUGAUCUAGAGAGGAAACACUUCUCAUUAGUCUUCCUUCAACACAAACAUGUUUGCUUCAGCUCCACUGCUGCUGCUGGCUCUCGCCCCCUAUGUGUUCUGUGCUACUGAGCUCAUCCAGCCAGACUCACUGCUUAUAAAGCCAGGAGAGACUUUAACCAUCACCUGUAAAGUGUCUGGAGCUUCUAUCACUGAUAGCAGCAGCCACCGAGCAACAGCUUGGAUUCGACAACCUGCAGGAAAAGCUUUAGAAUGGAUCAAUUUAAUUUAUUAUGAUGGAGAUAUUCGUCAAAAAGAUUCACUUAAAGACAAGUUUGUGGUCUCUCAAGACACUUCCAGUAACUCUGUGACCUUACGGGGACAGAACAUGCAGACUGAAGACACAGCUGUGUAUUACUGCGCUCGUGAUCCACACAGUGACACAACAAGCUGCAGUGCUGCACAACAACCUCAUCACAAUUCACUUCUUUAAGGAAAUAAUAACUACAUUUUAUUGAGUAACUAAUCCCUACAUUCCAAACACUUCAGACGUUAUUUAAAAACUUCUCAAACAAUUAGGAAUACAAUGAAUUAAAAAUUGUUUGUGAAAAUUUAAUUAAAAGAUAAAAUAUCUGCAGUGUUUGAUAUGAUGAAGAUUUCUGUUAACAGAAUGUUUAUUUUGUGUUGUUGGAAGGAGUCUCCAGUGUCAGAGCGAGAUCAGGGUUAAAGCUGUGACUUUAUUUACAGCAUGAUAAAGUCUUCAGGACAGAAAAGUUUGUACUUUUUCCUCAGUAUCAGGACAAGUGUUGAGGGAAGGACUGUUUCUAGCUGUAAUAAUGAACAU